GGUGGACAGAGGGAGGAAGGACAGAGAGGAGGGGUCGCCCCCACAAGGGCCAGGCCGGGAGUCUGGAGGAGCCCCCUGCCGGGAAUGCAGCUGGGGAAAGAGGUUAUUAGGUGCAGUCCUGAGAACGGGGCAGGGAUGAGAGGCAGGGAAUUUGUUACUCGAAAACUGGGCUCGACUCGGUGGACGUUGCGCCAAGAGACACAGUCAAGCCAAACAGCGGGAGAAGGAAGCAUUUAUUACUUGCAGCAAUUCGCUCUGUUUUUCUUCACCCUUGCCUUCCAUUCUGGGAGGGAAGAUCCACCUCAACAGGGUGGGCUCCUCUCACGAGCCCACCUCCGGCGGCCCCCUCCCUCGGACCUUGCCAAGACACCGAGACGAGCUCCAGGACAGGACUCUCCACUUGCCUUCUGGACUGACAUCCACACACUGGCCCACAUUUCAUCCCUCAGUUGCAAGGGAAGCAGCUGGAGCAGAAGGCUUUGUUUGGGUUCCUGUCCCAGCCUCCCUCACUGAUCUAUCGAUCUAUUGCAAAUCAAAAAGCAGCGUCUUGGUUCCUUCUCCUCAGACCCGGAUAACUAUCUAGAAGAAUUCAAGUAUCUUACUCAGUCCUACAACUUAACCUGGCAUGAUAUUUACAUCAUCCUUUCCUCCACCUCCUCCCAGAAGAGAAGGAACAAGUAUGGCCAACCUCCCGGCUGCAAGCUGAUGAGAUACACAGGGCUGACGACACAAAGCCUGUAGGGGUCACGGCUGUCCCCUCCCAGAGAUGAUCCUGGGAUUAUCAGGCAGGGAGACCUGGGCCAGCAGCCUGUCAUCACGUGGUUGCUUGCCUCAUUGUAGGCCUUCAAAAGGCAGAACAUAAAGCUAUCAUCUUUGAUAAGCUUUGGCUAAUAAUUCAAGGGCUAGACGAAAACCCGGCACAAUUUCUAGCCAGGCUAACGGAAGCCCUACAAAAAUAUACAAGAUUUGAUCCCAUUUCAGCAGAGGGCACCAUUGUCCUUAUCACCCACUUUAUCUCCCAAUCGUCCCCAGACAUCUGAAAGAAACUAAAAAAGGCAGAAGGCCCUCAACCCCCUCAACAAGACCUUUUAAAUUUAGCCUUUAAGGUUUUCAAUAAUCGGGAAAAACAGGCAAAGCUAGAGAAGGCCCAACGAGAUCAGGCCAAAUACCACCUUUUAGCCACUGCCCUCCAUGGCUCCAAAUUUCCAUCAACCAACAAAGGCAGGAAGCCGUGUGGGCCCUGCUUCAAAUGCGGCAAAGAAGGCCACCGGGCCCACUCACGUCUAAAGCCAAGGCCCCCUCCAGGCCCGUGUCCCAGCUGUGGCACAAAGGGACAUUGGAAGGUUGGCUGCCCAAAUCCCCCUUAGGGAUCCGGACAUCCCCUCCUGGUCUCGAGCAGCAGUCCUCUGACCCAGCUCUGCCCAGCCUCCUUGGACCCGCCGUUGAGGAUUAGAGGUGCCCAGGGCUCCAGGCCCCGACUCUUGCCACCUCUAAGGAGCCCAGGGUAACUCUCACAGUGGCAGGGUCACGAUGUCUCAUCUCCUUGAUCUGAAUGUCACGAGGGAGCCUUGGGAUUGCUCAGACGUGAAAGGAAGCCUGUCAUUCUGCUGGGUUGGUCGGUGGUUUCUCCUCUCUGCUGCCUUCCUGCAAAGCGGUGCUUGCUGUUGCAGCCAAUGCUGUGAUGAGUAUCCCUGCCCCAUGUGGCCGGGCAGGGAGACGUUCCCAUGGGACCAUCCACGACGUCAACCUCCACUGCAAUCCCUCCCCUCCUGGGGUCUCCUGCAGACUCUCCUUGGAGUUCCUGGGCUGAGCAUUUGCCAGAAGCUAGAGUCAGAUGGGGACUAGGUUCAAAUACCAGUUGCUCCAUCAACAUCUCUCCCUGCGUCAGUGUUCUCAUCCCUACAAAGGAGACGAUAAUCAUGGUACCACUUCCGGAGUUGUCUUGAGUAUUACAUGCAAUAACGUGUUAUAGCCCCUGGAUCAGGGGAAGGACUCAGGAUGGCUCGCUGCCCUCUCCUUCCCCCUCUGAUAUCCCAUCUACCCUAUGGAGUCCCAAGCUUUGCAUGUGGGCCCUGGUCUAGUCGUCUGCACCCCGCAGCUUCCCCGGAUGUGGAUGUGGUGGUGCACAAUAAAUAAAUGGCCCCUGCAUGUGCCGUGAGGCGCAGUCCUCCAGCUUUGGCCUGACCCCCACUCCGCUAGGCCUGGGGGAUGGGGAGGAGUAGAGGUGCCUUUCUCUGGAUGGUCCACAGCACCCCCGAGUCCCUCCCCCUCUUUC
ensembl:lncRNA